AGUAAGAGCGAAUAAGAUUAAGAGCUUGCUCUUAUGAAGUUAGCGGCGGCACGGGUGAGUAACACGUGGGUAACCUGCCCAUAAGACUGGGAUAACUCCGGGAAACCGGGGCUAAUACCGGAUAACAUUUUGAACCGCAUGGUUCGAAAUUGAAAGGCGGCUUCGGCUGUCACUUAUGGAUGGACCCGCGUCGCAUUAGCUAGUUGGUGAGGUAACGGCUCACCAAGGCAACGAUGCGUAGCCGACCUGAGAGGGUGAUCGGCCACACUGGGACUGAGACACGGCCCAGACUCCUACGGGAGGCAGCAGUAGGGAAUCUUCCGCAAUGGACGAAAGUCUGACGGAGCAACGCCGCGUGAGUGAUGAAGGCUUUCGGGUCGUAAAACUCUGUUGUUAGGGAAGAACAAGUGCUAGUUGAAUAAGCUGGCACCUUGACGGUACCUAACCAGAAAGCCACGGCUAACUACGUGCCAGCAGCCGCGGUAAUACGUAGGUGGCAAGCGUUAUCCGGAAUUAUUGGGCGUAAAGCGCGCGCAGGUGGUUUCUUAAGUCUGAUGUGAAAGCCCACGGCUCAACCGUGGAGGGUCAUUGGAAACUGGGAGACUUGAGUGCAGAAGAGGAAAGUGGAAUUCCAUGUGUAGCGGGUGAAAUGCGUAGAGAUAUGGAGGAACACCACUGGCGAAGGCGACUUUCUGGUCAGAACUGACACUGAGGGGGCGAAAGCGUGG
rnacentral:rRNA from 1 species